UACGAAGGGGGCUAGCGUUGUUCGGAAUCACUGGGCGUAAAGGGCGCGUAGGCGGCCGAUCAAGUCGGGGGUGAAAGCCUGUGGCUUAACCACAGAAUGGCCUCGAUACUGUUUGGCUUGAGACCGGAAGAGGUUAGUGGAACUGCGAGUGUAGAGGUGAAAUUCGUAGAUAUUCGCAAGAACACCAGUGGCGAAGGCGGCUGACUGGUCCGGUUCUGACGCUG
rnacentral:rRNA from 1 species